GACGAACGCUGGCGGCGUGCUUAACACAUGCAAGUCGAACGGGAAGGCCCUGCUUUUGUGGGGUGCUCGAGUGGCGAACGGGUGAGUAACACGUGAGUAACCUGCCCUUGACUUUGGGACAACUUCAGGAAACUGGGGCUAAUACCGGAUAGGAGCUCCUGCUGCAUGGUGGGGGUUGGAAAGUUUCGGCGGUUGGGGAUGGACUCGCGGCUUAUCAGCUUGUUGGUGGGGUAGUGGCUUACCAAGGCUUUGACGGGUAGCCGGCCUGAGAGGGUGACCGGCCACAUUGGGACUGAGAUACGGCCCAGACUCCUACGGGAGGCAGCAGUGGGGAAUAUUGCACAAUGGGCGGAAGCCUGAUGCAGCAACGCCGCGUGCGGGAUGACGGCCUUCGGGUUGUAAACCGCUUUCGCCUGUGACGAAGCGUGAGUGACGGUAAUGGGUAAAGAAGCACCGGCUAACUACGUG
rnacentral:rRNA from 1 species